CUUGGGCUUCAGUUUUUGUUGGCUCUAUUUUUACACAUCCAGGCAACCAUCUGUUAAGAAAACGUUCAGCUUGGAUAUGGCAUCAGUUCCGGAAGACCAGGCCAACCCAUCUCCUCUAAAGCUUCCUCCCAAAAGCUGAUGCCUUACUCAUCCAGCCUGCUGAAGAUUCUCUGUAAAACCUCAAAAUCUUUGGGCUCCUCACCAUCUAAUGAAUGAGCAGUCUACAUCCACUUCAGUGCCAUCCCCAGGAGCAUCAGCUGCCAGCAGGAGUUCUUCCAGCUCACUGAUGGAUGGAAGCCUAAUGCAUUUCUGGAUUAUCUUUCUCUUGAGUGUGUUCAGCCACCUCUCCAGAAGCUUGCCUGAUACACCCUCUCCAAACAUUAGAACAAAAUCCUGUUGAACCGAGGGUGGGGAUUUGCAGUGACAACUUCAAGAUUUCACAGCCACAAUUAAUAGUUGCCAUUCGUUUGAUGAUGAUGAUGAUGAUGAUGAUGAUAAUAAUAAUAAUAAUAAUAAUAAUAAUAAUAAUAAUAAUAAUAAUAAUAAUAAUACAUUAAUUAAAUAGUCCGGUAAAAACAAGAUUAGGCCAGAGUAAAAAGGUGUGUUAUGAGCUUUCGCAUAUGCAGUGGUAGUAUGUUUCAUAGUUCUGGGGCAUAUCAGGCUGCUUCUGCUAUGUAUGGGGUGCCAUAUCAUUAAGUGCUUUAAACAACAAAAAAUAACUUAACAUUUAUCCUAUAGGACACAGGCAGCCAGUGUAGAGAAGUGAGCACUGGAGUGAUAUGUUGUUGUCUUAUUUUUAUUAGUGCUCUGCUAACUGCUGCAUUUUAUCAGGUUUGGUAAUUGAUAUAUUUGGCAGUCCACUGAACAUGGUGUUAACAGUAAUCAUCAGUCAUGGGUCAGUGUUGCUGUGUCUUGAAUUGACAGAUGGGGUUCCAAUUCUUGAGAUAUUUCUAAGAUUGAAGUAAGUAGGCAGUUUUUGUAACAAUGUCAAUGUGAUUUUUAAGUCAAAAGUACCUAGGUUACCUAGAGCUGGCUUGACUGUGCGGCUAGUUGUUUCAUAGCACUGGUCAGACAGCUGGUUAGUAGUUUCAGGCAGUGAAGCUCCUCUGGCUUAAGGGAAACAUAUAACUCUGUGUCAUCUGUAUAACUAUGAGACUGAUUUUAUGAUUUCAGAUUAAGUAGUAGCAUGUACAAUGAAAAUAGAAAAGGAGCUACUCUGUGGUAGAUGGUACAUUAUGUGAUGUUUUUCAGAGGCAUACUCACCAUGGUAACAAAAGUCUCCCUGUUUCGAUAUGAUUUAAACGAGUUUAGCACAGCGCCAGAGAGAACAACAUAUUUUUCCUGGUGACUGUUAAACAUGUUGUGUAUUAAAGACUGCACUAAGUCAAGAGUAUGUCCUCAAAUGUGUGUGUGGGCACUGUAAUGUGCUGAGCUAAGUCAAAAGAAAGCAUAAUUUUCAUAAAUUCUCCUGCUUUGGUGUUCAUUGUUUUGUCAAGAUGAAAGUUGAAGUCCCCAGUUAUGAGAAUAUCGUAAUAGUGCGCAGUAAGCAGUUUAAGGGAUUUCAGAGAUGACGCUUGUAUUAUAUUUAGGUGGGCAAUAAAUGUUAAGCAGCAGAAUUGAUGUCUUGCACAUAGUUUCAAUUGCAAGAUAUUUAAAUGCAUUUAAUGCAUGCAAAUACAUUUUUGCAACUUAUUUAGUUUAGUUAUUACACUGCCAAAAUAAUGGCAUAUUUUCCAAAUCUGUGUUGUCUUUGAAACCUGGAAAGUCAGACAGUAUUCUGCUUGACUGCUGGGGAUGAAGAACCAUGUUGCAGCAAUAGACAAUUUCAGCUUCAUGUUAUAAUAUCUUUUUUGGGCAUUUCACUUUAUUACCAGGACAGGCAGUGGAAAGAGGGAAUGAAGCAAAUGGCUUUGGACCGGACCUGAGCCUGGGCCACAGCAUUGAGGACUCAGCCUUUACAUGUUUUAUAUCUAUAGUGAAUUUACUAACUUUUAAUUUAAGCAGUUUUUUUAAAUUGAAAGAAUAAAACAAUAUACUCUGGCAUUAAUUGUGGGGACUGGUGGGAUUCAAAAUGUUUCAAUUUACAAUUAGCUUUACCUAAACCAGUAUUUUGUGCAACUCAUUUUUUUGAGUGUGGGUCACUGAGGUAGGGCAAUAAGGUCACACUUCCCUUUGGUAUACAUUUCUUUAACCGGUUCCUAUUUGUGUGAGAUAGAAAUUACUUCUCAGUCAGUUUCCCUGGAUUAAACUGAGAUUUGAAAUUAUUCUGAAAACUAGUGUGAGAACACAAGGGCUAAAAACAAUUACCCAUUUUUCUGUCAUAUCAGCUGCCUGUCAGUAUGUUCACCAUUUUUCUAUUUUUUCUGCAAAACUUGCAAAGCAUUCAGCCCCCAUACAAUUUCCAUUUAAUGUUCUUCCCUGAGCUGAUUCUUGCAACUCUAAAAGAACAGAUUUGUCACAAGAAUGCACGUGAGUUUUUGUGUAUAUCUUACUUGCUUGGGUUCUGAACAUAUUUCAUGUUCAUUUUUGUGUAGCUACACAUUAUCAUGACACUUACUUUCUCAUCAGCGAGUUCAGUCCCGACUAUUUGUAACAAAGCAAAGAUAGCAAAGGAUGUAUGCUCCAGUCUAUAGUUCUGCAUUUGUCCAGUAGUGUUUACAAUCUAUGUUCUUGUUUCUCAUAAACGUCAUUAUGUCAUCCAUAUUGGCUAUUUCCAAUAUAGUACCCCGUUUUUCUCCUGUAGCUCUUUCCAUCAACCUUGUCUCAUAACCGUCAUGAAAUCAACUAAUGGCCCUCUGUUCAGUAGAGACAGAGAGUGGGAGAGUGGAGGAUUUAGAGAGGGGGUAGAUGGGAAGAGUAAGAUGGAGAAAGACGAAUAAAAGAUGAGAGAUAUGAAAUGGGAGCAAGAAAGAAAGAGACAGGGAGAGAUGGAGGAUGAAUGGAGGGGGUGCAGGACUGUAUGGCUGAGCAACAUGAAAGUGACAGUGGGCUGCAGCUGGGCUAAAGCUGGGGUAGCCUGCUAUUAACAGAGUGCAACAGUGUCGAGCAGGGACUGUAAAGUGCGCUUCAAUCUGUUGUCCAGGUCUCUGCCAACCUGUCUUUAUUAUUCCCUACAUGUCUCCCUUUUUUAAAUUUGUUUUUAAUAACACUUUCAAUCAGGUAUGUGUUAAGCAAAUAAUUGCAAAUAAAAAAGUUAACUUUCCUCUCAUUACCAUUUAAACAACAGAAUCAUUUAGAUAUGCCUCUUCAUAUCAAAAUGUAAUUUAGUAUUUUAUGGUAGACUCUCACCUAAAUUGAUUUUAUUGAGAAAUACCACCUGUGCUUUUACUAUUACUUAACUUUACUACAUCUAGUGCUUUGAUACAUUCUUCUGCCAAAAAUCCUCCUAUCCUGUUAGUAGCUUUGAAUGUUAGGACGUUGUCAAAGAACUGGUACAUAACCCAAAUACAAAACAACUGUUUUUUGAGCCCAGAGAUCUUGAGGCUACUAUUUGAAAAACUCAGUUCAAGAGCCCUGAUUUGUUUUUGACAUUUUAUACCUUUUUAUUAUGUAGCACCAGUAAAAAGAUGACAGGAAACAAGGGAGAGAAAGGUCUCCAGCCGUACUCGAACCAGAUUUGUUGUGGUCGGUGAUUCACUCUCCACCCCUAAGGCAUGUGGGUGCCAAAGGUUUAAGAAGAUUUUUGUUUUGGCAACAUUUUUAGAAAAUGCUUGGCAGCUAAUACAGUACACUAUAUCUUUCAUACAGCUCAGAACAGCUCUGUUGUGUAAAUGGGAACUUUUGAAAUGUUCAAUUUGUGGAUCGGCAUGUUAUGAUUUGAAAUGUUUUGAUGUUGCCUUGUGUCUUGUAAGCCCAUAUGGGUUGGAAAGAACAUGGUUCAAGGCAUGGUUUUAAUCAUUUAAACAAUCAAUUAAAGCUAGGAUUUUACCUCUGCAUAGCACUAAGUGGACUUGCAUGGAGUGCUCUUAUUUUCACAGAUUUUUAAAGGUAUACCAACGCUUCAUCCUGUCCUUGUUUAUAGGAUUUUUGAUGACACAUUGUCAGCGCUGGCUAUAGCCAAGGUGGUGCCGUAGGUUCAUAUAAGCCAGUUAUGGCUUCUAUGGACAUGGACACUAGGAAAAACCUCCCUGAGGUUGUAUUAACAUUUAUUGGACAGUGAUGACACAUGUGGUGUCUAAAUGCCUCAGCACUAGGGACGAAGAAUAACUAUUUAACAUUCUAUUUUCAUGACCAAAGCAAGUUUGAGUAGCUGCUCCAAUUUGAUUUGAUGACUUAUGGUUACGGCUGUGGAUAACUCUGUUGCCUUUGGAAG
rnacentral:lncRNA from 15 species